rnacentral:rRNA from 1 species
UACGUAGGGAGCGAGCGUUAUCCGGAUUUAUUGGGUGUAAAGGGUGCGUAGACGGGAAAUUAAGUUAGUUGUGAAAUCCCUCGGCUUAACUGAGGAACUGCAACUAAAACUGGUUUUCUUGAGUGUCGGAGAGGAAAGAGGAAUUCCUAGUGUAGCGGUGAAAUGCGUAGAUAUUAGGAGGAACACCGGUGGCGAAGGCGUCUUUCUGGACGAUAACUGACGUUGAGGCACGAAAGUGUGGGGAG